rnacentral:rRNA from 1 species
AACGAACGCUGGCGGCAGGCUUAACACAUGCAAGUCGAACGAGAUCUUCGGAUCUAGUGGCAGACGGGUGAGGAACACGUGGGAACAUCCCUUUCAGUUCGGAAUAACGUUGGGAAACUAACGCUAAUACCGGAUACGUCCUUCGGGAGAAAGAUUUAUCGCUGAAAGAUUGGCCCGCGUCUGAUUAGCUAGUUGGUGAGGUAAUGGCUAACCAAGGCUACGAUCAGUAGCUGAUCUGAGAGGAUGAUCAGCCACAUUGGGACUGAGACACGGCCCAAACUCCUACGGGAGGCAGCAGUGGGGAAUUUUGGACAAUGGGCGCGAGCCUGAUCGAGCCAUGCCGCGUGAGUGAUGAAGGCCUUCGGGUUGUAAAGCUCUUUUAUCCGGGAAGAUAAUGACUGUACCGGAAGAAUAAGCCCCGGCAAACUUCGUGCCAGCAGCCGCCGUAA